rnacentral:rRNA from 1 species
UGCAGUCGAACGAUGAUGCCCAGCUUGCUGGGCGGAUUAGUGGCGAACGGGUGAGUAAUACGUGAGUAACCUGCCCUUGACUCUGGGAUAAGCCUGGGAAACUGGGUCUAAUACUGGAUACUACCUCUUACCGCAUGGUGGGUGGUGGAAAGGGUUUUACUGGUUUUGGAUGGGCUCACGGCCUAUCAGCUUGUUGGUGGGGUAAUGGCUCACCAAGGCGACGACGGGUAGCCGGCCUGAGAGGGUGACCGGCCACACUGGGACUGAGACACGGCCCAGACUCCUACGGGAGGCAGCAGUGGGGAAUAUUGCACAAUGGGCGGAAGCCUGAUGCAGCGACGCCGCGUGAGGGAUGACGGCCUUCGGGUUGUAAACCUCUUUCAGUAGGGAAGAAGCGAGAGUGACGGUACCUGCAGAAGAAGCGCCGGCUAACUACGUGCCAGCAGCCGCGGUAAUACGUAGGGCGCAAGCGUUGUCCGGAAUUAUUGGGCGUAAAGAGCUCGUAGGCGGUUUGUCGCGUCUGCUGUGAAAGCCCGGGGCUCAACCCCGGGUCUGCAGUGGGUACGGGCAGACUAGAGUGCAGUAGGGGAGACUGGAAUUCCUGGUGUAGCGGUGAAAUGCGCAGAUAUCAGGAGGAACACCGAUGGCGAAGGCAGGUCUCUGGGCUGUUACUGACGCUGAGGAGCGAAAGCAUGGGGAGCGAACAGGAUUAGAUACCCUGGUAGUCCAUGCCGUAAACGUUGGGCACUAGGUGU